AUUGAACGCUGGCGGCAGGCUUAACACAUGCAAGUCGAGCGGGGGAAGGUAGCUUGCUACCGGACCUAGCGGCGGACGGGUGAGUAAUGCUUAGGAAUCUGCCUAUUAGUGGGGGACAACAUCUCGAAAGGGAUGCUAAUACCGCAUACGUCCUACAGGAGAAAGCAGGGGAUCUUCGGACCCUGCGCUAAUAGAUGAGCCUAAGUCGGAUUAGCUAGUUGGUGGGGUAAAGGCCUACCAAGGCGACGAUCUGUAGCGGGUCUGAGAGGAUGAUCCGCCACACUGGGACUGAGACACGGCCCAGACUCCUACGGGAGGCAGCAGUGGGGAAUAGUGGACAAUAGGGGGAACCCUGAUCCAGCCAUGCCGAGUGUGUGAAGAAGGCCUUAUGGUUGUAAAGAACUUUAAGCGAGGAGGAGGCUACUUUAGUUAAUACCUAGAGAUAGUGGACGUUACUCGCAGAAUAAGCACCGGCUAACUCUGUG
rnacentral:rRNA from 1 species